UGCCAACUAAUAGAUUGCAGAACGGAUUGCAGUCAGCCCAACCAACUCUUAGAAGAUCAGCGCUAGUGUAAAGUGUAAGGCCGUUUUUUCUGACAUUCAACAGUAAUUGGAUCGAUUUCAUUUUUAUUGCUUCCAGGGGCCAUUCGCAUCUCCGGAUCAUCAUUUACCAAAAGAUGAAGACUUUGCUGAUUGUARYAUGUUUUGUCKCGAUGAUGACCACUUUAGUUAGUGGGCGCAGUAUGAAAAUGAAGACCAGAGAGUCGGCUACCGACCAUGACGAUUGCGUCUUUAAGUGCGAAGACACCCGUGACAGAUGCCGUGACAAGUUUAACAGUGGCAAUAACAUCAUUGAAUUCGAAAAGUGCGGCGAUACAUUCAGUAAUUGUGAAAAGGAUUGCAUGAUAAUUCACCAAUAAUCAUUUCGGCUACAAUCUAAGGGUUUGAUAUUAUACAUGUAGUAAACAGGGAUUGCAAAUGUAUUGCGAAUAAAAAUCAAUGCAAACAUUAUACAAUU